UAUGCAUCAUCGACACUUCGUGACAUGGACGAUAUUCACUCCUUCCUUCCUGGAACUAAUGAGAAUGAUUAUAUAGAGGAGGAGGGAGAGGGACCGACUGUGGUGGAUGAACAUUUGGUUGGAUCUUUAAAAUCUGCUGCUGCUGCUUCCACUGGCGUCAA
rnacentral:ribozyme from 1 species